CCUACGGGUGGCAGCAGUGGGGAAUAUUGCACAAUGGGCGCAAGCCUGAUGCAGCCAUGCCGCGUGUGUGAAGAAGGCCUUCGGGUUGUAAAGCACUUUCAGCGGGGAGGAAGGCGUUAAGGUUAAUAACCUUGGCGAUUGACGUUACCCGCAGAAGAAGCACCGGCUAACUCCGUGCCAGCAGCCGCGGUAAUACGGAGGGUGCAAGCGUUAAUCGGAAUUACUGGGCGUAAAGCGCACGCAGGCGGUCUGUCAAGUCGGAUGUGAAAUCCCCGGGCUCAACCUGGGAACUGCAUUCGAAACUGGCAGGCUAGAGUCGUGUAGAGGGGGGUAGAAUUCCAGGUGUAGCGGUGAAAUGCGUAGAGAUCUGGAGGAAUACCGGUGGCGAAGGCGGCCCCCUGGACAAAGACCGACGCUCAGGUGCGAAAGCGUGGGGAGCAAACAGGAUUAGAUACCCCAGUAGUC
rnacentral:rRNA from 1 species